GGGGAAUUUUGGACAAUGGGGGCAACCCUGAUCCAGCCAUGCCGCGUGAGUGAAGAAGGCCUUCGGGUUGUAAAGCUCUUUCGGACGGAAAGAAAUCGCCGCCUCUAACAUAGGCGGUGGAUGACGGUACCGUAAGAAGAAGCACCGGCUAACUACGUGCCAGCAGCCGCGGUAAUACGUAGGGUGCGAGCGUUAAUCGGAAUUACUGGGCGUAAAGCGUGCGCAGGCGGUUGUGCAAGACCGAUGUGAAAUCCCCGAGCUUAACUUGGGAAUUGCAUUGGUGACUGCACGGCUAGAGUGUGUCAGAGGGGGGUAGAAUUCCACGUGUAGCAGUGAAAUGCGUAGAGAUGUGGAGGAAUACCGAUGGCGAAGGCAGCCCCUGGGAUAACACUGACGCUCAUGCACGAAAGCGUGGGGAGCAAACA
rnacentral:rRNA from 1 species